rnacentral:rRNA from 1 species
GAUGAACGCUAGCGGCAGGCCUAACACAUGCAAGUCGAGGGAUAAGCCCUUCGGGGUGGAAACCGGCGCACGGGUGCGUAACGCGUAUGCAACCUACCUUUCACAGGGGGAUAGCCCGAAGAAAUUUGGAUUAAUACCCCAUAAUAUUGUUGGAUGGCAUCAUUGAUAAUUAAAGUUACGAUGGUGAAAGAUGGGCAUGCGUCCUAUUAGCUAGUUGGAGUGGUAACGGCACCCCAAGGCUACGAUAGGUAGGGGUCCUGAGAGGGAGAUCCCCCACACUGGUACUGAGACAGGGACCAGACUCCUACGGGAGGCAGCAGUGAGGAAUAUUGGUCAAUGGUCGAAAGACUGAACCAGCCAUGCCGCGUGCAGGACAGACGGCCCUAGAGGUUGUAAACUGCUUUUAUAUGGGAAGAAUAAGGAGUAACGCGUACUUUGA